ensembl:miRNA
CCUCAACUUUAACAUGGAGGUACUUGCUGGACACCUGAAAAAGUAAGUGCUUCCAUGUUUUAGUUGUGG